GAUGAACGCUGGCGGCGUGCCUAAUACAUGCAAGUCGAGCGAACGGACGAGAAGCUUGCUUCUCUUAUGUUAGCGGCGGACGGGUGAGUAACACGUGGAUAACCUACCUAUAAGACUGGGAUAACUUCGGGAAACCGGAGCUAAUACCGGAUAAUAUUUUGAACCGCAUGGUUCAAAAGUGAAAGACGGUCUUGCUGUCACUUAUAGAUGUAUCCGCGCUGCAUUAGCUAGUUGGUAAGGUAACGGCUUACCAAGGCAACGAUGCAUAGCCGACCUGAGAGGGUGAUCGGCCACACUGGAACUGAGACACGGUCCAGACUCCUACGGGAGGCAGCAGUAGGGAAUCUUCCGCAAUGGGCGAAAGCCUGACGGAGCAACGCCGCGUGAGUGAUGAAGGUCUUCGGAUCGUAAAACUCUGUUAUUAGGGAAGAACAUAUGUGUAAGUAACUGUGCACAUCUUGACGGUACCUAAUCAGAAAGCCACGGCUAACUACGUG
rnacentral:rRNA from 1 species